ACCAAUCUUCAAGGUAUGAAAAGAUAAAUGAUUCCAUGGGUAGGAAUGAGUUGGUAUACCAGCAAUCUAAAAUUCCCUUGCAGCCAUGAGACACAUCCCUCAGACUGAAGUUAACAGAAGCUUGAUCUCCCUUUGCACCUAUAAAUCUAUAAAUACCCUCUCUUCUUUAAGACACCUAUCGUUCCCAGCUGCUGUAGACUGAAUGUUUGUGUUCCUCCCAAAUCCAUUUGUUGGAAUCCCCAGUGUGUUGAUAUUGGGAGAUGGGGCCUUUGGGAGGUGACAAGGUCACGAGGGCUUCACCCUUACUAUAAUACUUUAACAUGAGAACUUGAUAUCUGUGGGGUUAAUGCCCCUACAAGUCAGGCUGAAGAGAGUUCCUUCAUGCUCUCUUCCACUUGAGGAGAUGGCUGUCUAUGAACUAUGAAGUGAGACUUCAUCAGACAUGCUUAGCUGUUGGUGUCUGUAUCUUGGACUUCACAGCCCCAAGAACUGUGAGAAAUAAAUUUCUGUUGUUUAUAAGGCUCUCAUUCUCUGGUAUUUUGUUACAGCAGCCUAAACAUACAAGAAUGAGUGCUCUCUAUUCAAAAACCAUCCUCCCUUCCUGUGCCAUCAGAGAAUCCAACAUUUUACCAGAAGAAGAAAUAUGGACACAGGCAUAUCCAGAAGGAAGAGCAUAUGAAGACAGGGGAGAUAACUGUCUAUGAGCCAAAGAGAGAGCCUUCAAAAGAAACCAAUCUGGCCAUCACUUUACUUUCAGCUCUGCACUGCGCAAAAACCACAUGCCUCAAGGCAGUUUUGAAGCACGAACAAGGCACAAGGCAGCUUUCUAUUGAAAGAAGACUAUGGAAGGCAAAGAGCAUAGAUUUUGGAGUCAGACAUAAGUGGAGUCAAAUCACAGUGCCAUUGCUGUUUAG